rnacentral:rRNA from 1 species
GCGUGCGAUCAUUCCAGUGUUAAUGCACUGGAUCCCAUCAGAACUCCGUAGUUAAGUGCACUUGGGUUGAAGUAGUACCGAGAUGGGUGACCUCUGGGGAGGUCCCAGUAUUGCACCAUA